rnacentral:rRNA from 1 species
AUGUCACUCAAGGAUAAAGAGGAACUUCACAACAAGUCAAGUGGUGCUUACAAAGCCUCAUGUGAUGCUCCUAUAUCAUCAAGUGAGAAACAAACCUUCAAUGAAGAAUUGAGCCUAAUGGUGAAGAACUUCAACAAGUUCUACAAGAGUAGAAGCAAGAGAAGAAGUUUCAAGUCGAGGUCAUACAAUGACAAAAGAUCUUCGAGUCGUGAACGUAAUUGCUACAAUUGUGGAAGACCUGGACACUACUCCAACGAGUGUACGACUCCCUACAAAAGGAGAGAAGAUUCACCUAAAAUUAGAAGUAGAAGAGAAGAAUCACCAACAAGAGAGAGAAGAAGUAGAGAUGAUCGUUAUGAACGAAGAACCUCCCGGAGAAGCAAGGAUUCAUAA